GGAAUCCAGCGGCGCUCUGUGGUCUGCCUUGGGAGUGGGGCAGCCCUCGGGCCAGGCCAGGGGGAAGCAGGAGCAGGAACUGGGCAGAGCUGUCCAACAGGAAGCCGGCCCCCUGACAUGCGCGCCUGCAGCCUGGGGCCCUGUGAGAGAACUUGGCGCUGGUACACAGGGCCCUGGGGUGAGUGCUCCUCCGAAUGUGGCUCUGGCACACAGCGUAGAGACAUCAUCUGUGUAUCCAAACUGGGGACGGAGUUCAACGUGACUUCUCCGAGCAACUGUUCUCACCUCCCCAGGCCCCCUGCCCUGCAGCCCUGUCAAGGGCAGGCCUGCCAGGACCGAUGGUUUUCCACGCCCUGGAGCCCAUGUUCUCGCUCCUGCCAAGGGGGAACGCAGACACGGGAGGUCCAGUGCCUGAGCACCAACCAGACCCUCAGCACCCGAUGCCCUCCUCAACUGCGGCCCUCCAGGAAGCGCCCCUGUAACAGCCAACCCUGCAGCCAGCGCCCUGAUGAUCAAUGCAAGGACAGCUCUCCACAUUGCCCCCUGGUGGUACAGGCCCGGCUCUGCGUCUACCCCUACUACACAGCCACCUGUUGCCGCUCUUGCGCACAUGUCCUGGAGCGGUCUCCCCAGGAUCCCUCCUGAAAGGGGUCCGGGGCACCUUCACGGUUUUCUGUGCCACCAUCGGUCACCCAUUGAUCGGCCCACUCUGAACCCCCUGGCUCUCCAGCCUGUCCCAGUCUCAGCAGGGAUGUCCUCCAGGUGACAGAGGGUGGCAAGGUGACUGACACAAAGUGACUUUCAGGGCUGUGGUCAGGCCCAUGUGGUGGUGUGAUGGGUGUGUGCACAUAUGCCUCAGGUGUGCUUUUGGGACUGCAUGGAUAUGUGUGUGCUCAAACGUGUAUCACUUUUCAAAAAGAGGUUACACAGACUGAGAAGGACAAGACCUGUUUCCUUGAGACUUUCCUAGGUGGAAAGGAAAGCAAGUCUGCAGUUCCUUGCUAAUCUGAGCUACUUAGAGUGUGGUCUCCCCACCAACUCCAGUUUUGUGCCCUAAGCCUCAUUUCUCAUGUUCAGACCUCACAUCUUCUAAGCCGCCCUGUGUCUCUGACCCCUUCUCAUUUGCCUAGUAUCUCUGCCCCUGCCUCCCUAAUUAGCUAGGGCUGGGGUCAGCCACUGCCAAUCCUGCCUUACUCAGGAAGGCAGGAGGAAAGAGACUGCCUCUCCAGAGCAAGGCCCAGCUGGGCAGAGGGUGAAAAAGAGAAAUGUGAGCAUCCGCUCCCCCACCACCCCGCCCAGCCCCUAGCCCCACUCCCUGCCUCCUGAAAUGGUUCCCACCCAGAACUAAUUUAUUUUUUAUUAAAGAUGGUCAUG
rnacentral:lncRNA from 1 species